AAUCCAUGCCAUUAAACGGCACCACUUUUGUAUGCUGUAUAAAAACCAUUUAAAAACCCUUCUUUUUUUUUUUAAACCUUAGGUUAUUCCCCUCUUUGGUAACAGCAGACUCAGGGACUGCUUUCUUUUCUUCUCUGCUCUUCACCGAAAUUUUCCCUUUGUCUACUCCGAUUCAGACGAAGCACAACAAGGCAUUGACAACGGCCACCACUGUUUUUUGCAGGUAUGAAGGUCAUGGAGGAUGUGCGCAAAGUGCUGAACGUGGGGCGAUGUUGAGGCGUGGGUGAGGUUGCCGCGGCUGCUGAUUUUGCUGUUAGCUAUUUAGGGUUUGCUAUUCUUUGAAAAUUUUUGGGCUGUACAGGGUUAUUAGUUUGGUAAUGGGCUGUUAGUAUAAUUGGGCCCGGGCCAAAAUGGCCUAUUACACUUUUAUUCAAACUGGUAUACUAAAUGAUUCUCGUACCAAUCAAUUCAGUUCAAUUCUAACCA